rnacentral:rRNA from 1 species
GACGUAGGGCGCGAGCGUUGUCCGGAUUUAUUGGGCGUAAAGAGCUCGUAGGCGGUUCGAUAAGUCGGACGUGAAAUCUCCACGCUCAACGUGGAGGGGCCGUUCGAUACUGUCGUGACUCGAGUCCGGUAGGGGAGUGUGGAAUUCCCGGUGUAGCGGUGAAAUGCGCAGAGAUCGGGAGGAACACCCGUAGCGAAGGCGGCACUCUGGGCCGGUACUGACGCUGAGGAGCGAAAGCGUGGGGAGCAAACAGG